GACGAACGCUGGUGGCGUGACUAAUACAUGGAAUUCGAGCGGACGAAUAGAAGCUUACGUGUGUGGGUUAGAGGGGGACGGGCGAGGAACACGUGGGCAACUAGCCUGUAAGAUAGCGAUUACUUCGGGAAACCGGAGCAAAAACGGGAUAAUUCAUCGCACCGCAUGAGGUGAGGCUGAAAGUCGGUUUACGCUGAAACUUACGGAUUGGCGCGCGACGGAUUAGCUAGUUGGUGAGGUAAUGGCUCACCAAGGCGACGAUGCGUAGCCGACCUGAGAGGGUGAUCGGCCACACUGGGACUGAGACACGGCCCAGACUCCUACGGGAGGCAGCAGUAGGGAAUCUUCCACAAUGGACGAAAGUCUGAUGCAGCAACGCCGCGUGAGCGAUGAAGGCCUUCGGGUCGUAAAGCUCUGUUGUUAGGGAAGAACAAGUAUCGGAGUAACUGCCGGUACCUUGACGGUACCUAACCAGAAAGCCACGGCUAACUACGUGCCAGCAGCCGCGGUAA
rnacentral:rRNA from 1 species